rnacentral:rRNA from 1 species
UACAGAGGGUGCGAGCGUUGUCCGGAAUCACUGGGCGUAAAGGGCGCGUAGGCGGCCUGGUAAGCGUGCGGUGAAAGCCCGGGGCUCAACCCCGGGUCGGCCGUGCGAACUGCGAGGCUGGAGCACUGUAGAGGCAGGUGGAAUUCCGGGUGUAGCGGUGGAAUGCGUAGAGAUCCGGAAGAACACCGGUGGCGAAGGCGGCCUGCUGGGCAGUGGCUGACGCUGAGGCGCGACAGCGUGGGGAGCGAACAGG